rnacentral:rRNA from 1 species
CAUACGACUCUCGGCAACGGAUAUCUCGGCUCUCGCAUCGAUGAAGAACGUAGCGAAAUGCGAUACUUGGUGUGAAUUGCAGAAUCCCGUGUUCCAUCGAGUCUUUGAACGCAAGUUGCGCCCGAGGCCUUUCGGUUGAGGGCACGCCUGCCUGGGCGUCACGC